GGAGAUACUGUGCAGCUAGGGAGUGGGAGAGGUAGACGGUACUCGGUAGGAAGGGGUAAAAUCCUUUGAUCUAUUGAUGACCACCUGUGGCGAAGGCGGUCUACUAGAACACGUCCGACGGUGAGGGAUGAAAGCUGGGGGAGCAAACCGGAUUAGAUACCCGGGUAGUCCCAGCUGUAAACAAUGCAAACUCAGUGAUGCAUUGGCUUGUGGCCAGUGCAGUGCCACAGGGAAGCCGUUAAGUUUGCCGCCUGGGAAGUACGUACGCAAGUAUGAAACUUAAAGGAAUUGGCGGGGGAGCACCACAAGGGGUGAAGCCUGCGGUUCAAUUGGAGUCAACGCCAGAAAUCUUACCCGGAGAGACAGCAGAAUGAAGGUCAAGCUGAAGACUUUACCAGACAAGCUGAGAGGUGGUGCAUGGCCGUCGCCAGCUCGUGCCGUGAGAUGUCCUGCUAAGUCAGGUAACGAGCGAGAUCCCUGCCUCUAGUUGCCACCAUUACUCUCAGGAGUAGUGGGGCGAAUUAGCGGGACCGCCGCAGUUAAUGCGGAGGAAGGAAGGGGCCACGGCAGGUCAGUAUGCCCCGAAACUCUGGGGCCACACGCGGGCUGCAAUGGUAAUUACAAUGGGUUCCAAAUCCGAAAGGAGAAGGUAAUCCUCAAAUGUUACCACAGUUAUGACUGAGGGCUGCAACUCGCCCUCACGAAUAUGGAAUCCCUAGUAACCGCGUGUCAUUACCGCGCGGUGAAUACGUCCCUGCUCCUUGCACACACCGCCCGU
rnacentral:rRNA from 1 species